AUUGAACGCUGGCGGCAGGCCUAACACAUGCAAGUCGAGCGGAUGACGGGAGCUUGCUCCUUGAUUCAGCGGCGGACGGGUGAGUAAUGCCUAGGAAUCUGCCUGGUAGUGGGGGACAACGUUUCGAAAGGAACGCUAAUACCGCAUACGUCCUACGGGAGAAAGCAGGGGACCUUCGGGCCUUGCGCUAUCAGAUGAGCCUAGGUCGGAUUAGCUAGUUGGUGGGGUAAUGGCUCACCAAGGCGACGAUCCGUAACUGGUCUGAGAGGAUGAGCAGUCACACUGGAACUGAGACACGGUCCAGACUCCUACGGGAGGCAGCAGUGGGGAAUAUUGGACAAUGGGCGAAAGCCUGAUCCAGCCAUGCCGCGUGUGUGAAGAAGGUCUUCGGAUUGUAAAGCACUUUAAGUUGGGAGGAAGGGCAGUAAGCUAAUACCUUGCUGUUUUGACGUUACCGACAGAAUAAGCACCGGCUAACUCUGUGCCAGCAGCCGCAGUAC
rnacentral:rRNA from 1 species